UCCCCUGAAUUUAUUUUUAAAGAUAUUACAAUGAAAUUUUGACAGGAGGUGGGUUAUGCAUUUUGAAAUAGUUUCAUGAAAAUUUAAAAAAAAUAUUUAAGCAUUUUAAAAUUCAUUUUUAUAAAAAUUUAAAUUUUUUGAGUGAUUGAAAAAAAAAUUAAAUUAUGCAUCCCAGAAUGCAAUAUUUCAGGGGAAUUGAUAUGUCGGUGAAAAAGGUCACAUUAGUGCAUUCAUUGACCAGUCAAAUAGUUCCUUUUUAAAAAUAGAAAAACUGUUUUGUAAUGUGUAUUUGCAUGUGUAUUCUUAAUAAGGGGUCCCUUUGAAGUCAUAGAUGAAAGACGAGGUGUUUAUUGGAAAUGACAGACAAGCUAUCCAUUGAUUUCCCCCACCCAAAAUAAGGCGCAAUAAGGUGGUGAUUGGGCCAAUAUUUACAAUAACAUGUGCAUGGAUUUAUUUGCAGGAAACCGCACGUGGAAAUGGGAUUCAGGCUUUGCCCGACUCAUAAUUGCACAUGCAGGCAGAGGUUGUGUAUUGGAGUUUAUAAUUUCAGGUGCAGGGAUGUCAGUUUGUUCGGGGCGAGGAUAUAAGACUGAUUCCACCAGUUGUGUCUGUCUCCACCUUCACACACCACUGAAUUCCUUCGACAUUUUGAACAGUCUCCUGAGUAGCAGAGGAUGGUACUUUCUACGACAAGAGGAAGUUUACUACAGAUGAUGUUGAUGUCUCCAGUGGAAACAUCUCGGGGCUGAAGUGGGCACUGCGACACUGCCGGAACUGGGCUCUGCUGACAUGGGUUGGGUCGGCCAGUCGAGUGAUUUGCCAGUCUGGAUGAAAAAUACGCAUGGCAUCUUGGAAUCCCUGGGCUGACCGGGCAUCACCGUCUGUUGUGGCGUGCUUCACCUUGAACCCGUCCGCUGCCAGAUCUUCGCCUAUGGAUUUAGCCAUCUCGUACUCUGAAAGAGGGCUAGAGUGGCUGUGUUGACCUGGUUGCUGGCCCUUUGCAUGGAACUGCGGUUAGGAGGUGGAAUGUCCAAGGCAGCUACCAUUUCCCGACUGCGUCGAUUCCCCAUGGAGGUGUUCUGCAGGGCUAAUUGAAAGUUCCAGUUGAUACUGGCAGGAUUAGGGCCUGGUUUGUUA